CCUACGGGUGGCAGCAGUGGGGAAUAUUGCACAAUGGGGGAAACCCUGAUGCAGCGACGCCGCGUGAGUGAUGAAGUACUUCGUUAUGUAAAGCUCUAUCAGCAGGGGAGAAAAUGACGGUACCUGAGUAAGAAGCCCCGGCUAACUACGUGCAAGCAGCCGCGGUAAUACGUAGGGGGCAAGCGUUAUCCGGAUUUACUGGGUGUAAAGGGAGCGUAGACGGUGUGCCAAGUCUGGAGUGAAAUGCCGCAGCUUAACCGCGGAACUGCAUUGGAAACUGGCGAACUAGAGUGCUGUAGAGGUAAGCGGAAUUCCUAGUGUAGCGGUGAAAUGCGUAGAUAUUAGGAGGAACACCGGUGGCGAAGGCGGCUUACUGGACCGUAACUGACGUUGAGGCUCGAAAGCGUGGGUAGCAAACAGGAUUAGAUACCCCUGUAGUC
rnacentral:rRNA from 1 species